rnacentral:rRNA from 1 species
UACGGAGGGGGCUAGCGUUGUUCGGAAUUACUGGGCGUAAAGCGCGCGUAGGCGGACCUGCAAGUCGGGGGUGAAAGCCCGAGGCUCAACCUCGGAACUGCCUUCGAUACUGCGGGUCUCGAGUCCGGGAGAGGUGAGUGGAAUUCCUAGUGUAGAGGUGAAAUUCGUAGGUAUUAGGAAGAACACCAGUGGCGAAGGCGGCUCACUGGCCCGGUACUGACGCUGAGGCGCGAAAGCGUGGGGAGCAAACAGG